GCUCGCAGAGAUUUAGUCUGACUCGAAACUUUGUACAGAGAGGUUGAAAAUACUGAAUUCAAUUUUUAGAUGCUUAAUUGCAAGGAAGGAAAUUUUUCAUUCAAAAUUUUAUAAAAACUGUAAAAUCCAAAUAAAUUAAAGUGACGAGAGAGAAGUGAAUUUAGUUUAAUUGGUAACAUGUGUACUGCAAUGCAUGUUUUUAUGAUAGCCUUGAUGGUUCAAUCGGGUCUGGCUAUCAAAUGUUUUAAUUGUAUAUCUGAGAUGGAUAAAGAAUGUGACAAAAUGAAUGAUCAGAGUGUGCCAACACAGGAAUGCGAUGACGCGAAACAAGCAGAACUCGAAAGGCAGUUUCAAAAUGAAGGCAGACAUUUUCUGUUAAGGAUAUCGGACAUUUAUUACCACCGACCACCAAACAGUAAAACUGACUCUGUCCCAAUGGUAUGCCAAAAAUUAGUUGGCACCGACGACAAAGAAAACCGAAUGGUCGUACGGCGCUGUCAACUCGCGAACGUUGAGUGUAAUGACAGCUACGCACUAUUGGCUGCACAUUUUUCUAAUGAGUAUAAAGUUGAGGUGUGUGAGAUAUGCAAAGAUAAGGAUGGUUGUAACGGUUCUUCGAGUAAUCAGACUUUCGGUGUGGUAUUUGGUAUCGCAGUCGUGAUUGUUAGUGUAUGUAGACAUUUAAGUUUGUAAAAAAAAAAUUAAGGAAAAAUUAUUUGAUUCAAUUAAACUUAAGCAAAAUUUUGAGUAUUUAAGAAAAUUUGUCUGUUUAAGAGUUGUUAAUAUUGCAAUUGAAAGUUUAAAAAAAAUGAGAUUUAAUUAAAACGUCAUGGUUCACCCACUAUGCCUUCUUAACAGAUAAAAGAGAAAAGAAAUAUUGUAAGUGCACAGAAGUACCUUUGUAAAACCAAAAAAAGAAGAAAACAAAAAAUCGAAUCGAAUUUUCAAUUGAAUUUGUUUUUCC